AUUUCAUUAACUCUAUUGGUCACAGAUAAUGUAGUGUUAACAUUUUCAUUAAGCAUUUUAAUCUGUCUCUUCCGAACAGGAAACAUUUAAAACUGAACUCAGAAUGAAGUCCAUUUUCUUAGUUUGCGCAUUAUAUUUAUUUGGUUUUGUACUGGGCACAAAAAGAAAAUGUGAACUUUUUGCCGAAUAUAUGGGUGCUUGCAAGAGAAUAGAUAAGGGGUACACCUAUGAUCUUGGUACAAAUAAAUGCCUACAGACAAGCGGAAAGUGUAGAGGAAUUAAAAACUUUUUUAAAGCCCUCACGGAAUGCGAGAAACUAUGCAAAGAAGACUCUAAUGAAGGCUUUUAAAGACUUUCACAUUGGUUACCUAAGAAUAAAGUCUUUAAACUAUAACACAAGGAAGCUUUAGAGUAUCUAAGCAUUCAGUCAAUCACAAAAUAAAUGUCUGUCACUAAUGAGUUGCAUAAUAAAUUAAGUUGAACACUU